rnacentral:rRNA from 1 species
AACGAACGCUGGCGGCAGGCUUAACACAUGCAAGUCGAACGGGUGUAGCAAUACAUCAGUGGCAGACGGGUGAGUAACACGUGGGAACCUUCCUAGGGGUACGGAACAACUCAGGGAAACUUGAGCUAAUACCGUAUACGUCCGUGAGGAGAAAGAUUUAUCGCCCUUAGACGGGCCCGCGUCGGAUUAGCUAGUUGGUGGGGUAACGGCCUACCAAGGCGACGAUCCGUAGCUGAUCUUAGAGGAUGAUCAGCCACACGGGGACUGAGACACGGCCCAGACUCCCACGGGAGGCAGCAGUGGGGAAUGUUGGACAAUGGGCGCAAGCCUGAUCCAGCCAUGCCGCGUGAGUGAAGAAGGUCUUCGGAUUGUAAAGCUCUUUUGCCAGGGACGAUAAUGACGGUACCUGGAGAAUAAGCCCCGGCAAACUUCGUGCCAGCCGCCGCAGUAA